UUUUCCUCUGUACAGGUUUUGAUAAAUCUCCCCCAAUGUGCGGCUUUUGGUCUAAAUUGCGUCUUUAUCUACCAGUAAGGCCAUGUUCACAUGACGGCAUUCCCGAGUGGAAUCCGACAGAAAAAGUCCACUUGGAAAUUCCAUUGCAGCGGAGCCCCAUUGCUUUCAACUGCGGAAACAUCUGAUUCCGGCCUCCGCUGGAAGAGUUCGCUUGGAAAUUGCAUUCCCGUCUAUGGAGCGCUAAUUAACUCCUUCCUUGCUGGAAGAUAAAUAACCCACGCGAUUACUUAUUUAUGAAGCACGUCCAUUAAGCUGAUAAAUCAGAUUAUCGGCUUCCUGACUCGCUGCCGCUACCAUCGUCUUUAUGGAUCGUGUAAUGCAACGACAAUUUCCUUCCUGUGAAGCGGUAACCUUUGGAGACCUCUCGGCGAUAAAGGGCCCCUAGUGCGACUCUGGGUCAAAGAUCGGAAAAGCCUUAAGAAUGCAAGAACCUUUCCUGAACUUUGUUCUGCUGUAUACUGCGCCGGAUCUAGAACAUAUAUAGGGGCGGACUUGUAUAAAACACCAGUCCUGCAGAAAAGAUUGGAGUGAACCGCGCCAAAUUCAU